rnacentral:rRNA from 1 species
GUCCACGCCUUAAACUAUGAAUACUAAGUGUCGGCGGUUUACCGCCGGUGCCGCAGCUAACGCAUUAAGUAUUCCGCUGGGAAGUACGGCCGCAAGGUUGAAACUCAAAGGAAUUGACGGGGGCCCGCACAAGCGGUGGAUCAUGUGGUUUAAUUCGACGCAACGCGAAGAACCUUACCCAGGCUGGACAUGCAGGUAGUAGAAGGGUGAAAGCCCAACGAGGUAGCAAUACCAUCCUGCUCAGGUGCUGCAUGGCUGUCGU